GGCGAGAUGGCCGAGCGGUCUAAGGCGCCAGACUAAGGAGUACCUGCUUCGGUAUCUGGUCCGAAAGGGCGUGGGUUCGAAUCCCACUCUCGUCA
rnacentral:tRNA from 1 species